rnacentral:rRNA from 1 species
UACAGAGGUCUCAAGCGUUGUUCGGAUUCAUUGGGCGUAAAGGGUGCGUAGGUGGCGGGGUAAGUCAGGUGUGAAAUCUCGGGGCUCAACCCCGAAACUGCACUUGAUACUGCCUUGCUGGAGUACUGGAGAGGAGAUUGGAAUUUACGGUGUAGCAGUGAAAUGCGUAGAUAUCGUAAGGAAGACCAGUGGCGAAGGCGAAUCUCUGGACAGUUACUGACACUGAGGCACGAAGGCCAGGGGAGCAAACGGG